rnacentral:rRNA from 1 species
GAUGAACGCUGGCGGCGUGCCUAAUACAUGCAAGUCGAGCGAACGGACGAGAAGCUUGCUUUUCUGAUGUUAGCGGCGGACGGGUGAGUAACACGUGGAUAACCUACCUAUAAGACUGGGAUAACUUCGGGAAACCGGAGCUAAUACCGGAUAAUAUUUUGAACCGCAUGGUUCAAAAGUGAAAGACGGUCUUGCUGUCACUUAUAGCUGGAUCCGCGCUGCAUUAGCUAGUUGGUAAGGUAACGGCUUACCAAGGCAACGAUGCAUAGCCGACCUGAGAGGGUGAUCGGCCACACUGGAGCUGAGACGCGGUCCAGACUCCUACGGGAGGCAGCAGUAGGGAAUCUUCCGCAAUGGGCGAAAGCCUGACGGAGCAACGCCGCGUGAGUGAUGAAGGUCUUCGGAUCGUAAAACUCUGUUAUUAGGGAAGAACAUAUGUGUAAGUAACUGUGCACAUCUUGACGGUACCUAAUCAGAAAGCCACGGCUAGCUACGUG